CUGACAGCCUUUCCCUACACCGAUGCCACAUCUCAGAACAUGCACUAUGUAAAUUUUCUUAUUAUCAUUCUCAGUAUUUUGUACAUCCCUGGACCAUAUACGUUGAUCCUAAGAGCUAUGCUUCAGCUGCUUUCAGCAGCUAGCCAUCAAAAUGCCUUUUCUAUCCGUGGGUCUCACUUAAUAGUGGUGUCUCUGUUCUGUGAAACCAUAUGAUGAUGUGUGUGAAUCUCAUAUCUGACCAUUUAGUAUAAAUGAAGAUGACAAAUCACAAUAUCAUAAUGAUAUCCUCCAUAAAGACUCUAGUUUUAAACUUUGUCAAUUACACCUUACUCAAUAUGAACUUAAAACCUAUCUUCAGUUUUUUUUUUAUGGAA
rnacentral:lncRNA from 1 species